CUACUUACCUGACAGCAGAGAUAACCAUGUUCACGAAGGUGCCUAUCCGAGGGUAAGACUUAUCCAUUGCCCUCCAGAUGUGUUGACCCCUACAAUUUCUGCCAAUGCCAGAAACUUACAUGCAUAAUUUGUGGUGGUAGAGAGCUGCUUUUCUGCUCUUCCCCA